GACCUUCCCCAAAGCAGCCUGCAGUGCAGCUCAGCCAUGCUCCUGUUCCUCGUGCCUGUGCUGAGAACGCUUUUUGUUCUGGGAGCUGCCAGAGCCCAGUCAGUGACACAGCCAGACGCGCAUGUCUCUAUCUCUGAGGGAACAGCCCUGGAGCUGAGGUGCAAGUACUCAUACUCAGUUGGAACUCCUUUCCUCUUCUGGUAUGUCCAGUACUCUGGGCAAGCACUCCAGCUUCUCCUCAAGACCUCAGGAGGCACCUUCGUCAAAGGCAUCAAAGACUUUGAGGCUGAACUUAAGAAGACAGAAUCUUCCUUCAACUUGAAAAAACGUGUUGCUCACUGGAGUGACUCAGCCAAGUACUUCUGUGUCGUGAACUUUGGAAAAGAGAAGGAAUAUGUGAAUGAGUUCAUGGGGCUUGGAGAACCUUUGGUUUUAUACUGGCCUCCAGAGGGCGCAGUUGCACAAACUACAGAGUUUGUUCAUCAGCAUCAUCUGCUCAGUCUUACAUCCCCCUUCAGCUUUGCAGACAGGUGA